UUAUUUACUGAACUAUUCACCUGCUUUACAUGCGUGUCGCUUUAGACGAUCAGAAAGGUGUGCUACAUAUCAAAACAACGAGUUUACGUGAGGUUAUUUAUCUCUUUCAUAAAAAAAAUACAAAUUAAAUAUAAAACAUUAUCAUUCAAAUCGGCAGAACGCUUCUGACAACACGUGAACGCCCAGCACACGUCGGGGCGUCGCUGCGUGACGUCGUCUGGGGUAUAAAUAUGGGCUGGGCUUGCAAUUGGAAUCAUCUUGCCACUAUCUACCUUCAUUGCCUCUUGGACGCUCAAGGUUCUUUUCGGUCCAAACAAGAUGAAGCUGUGUGUUACCAUUGGUGUUUUCCUCAUGGUUCUUGCGCUUUCAGCCCAAGUGGUCGUUAACACUGCGACAACUUUGGCUGCAUCCACCAUGAGCCCAGCCCCAGCCAACACGACUGUCAUGAACGCAUGCUCCAGGAUCAACCCCUCCAAUUUGCUGGCCCUCUCCUUUGUCCCUCUGUUCUACAAUACAUGGUGCUGAUGCGUGCGCUAAGAGCCCCUUCACUGGACAUGAAGAGUUCAAUGGCCAUGCCACUUGGUUUGUCCAAAGAUGAGACGCCUGGAGUUUGAUGGUCUGAAUGUGCAGCAGAAGCUUUGUCAAGUCGUCAAAGUCUUUCAUGGACUGGACUAUCACCAGGAAGUAACGCACUGUGUGCUGUAUAAUAUUUGGCAAUGUCUUUGUCUGAAAUGUCCAGUGAGUGUGUCCCCUUUUUUUCUAUAUUUUUUUUUAAAUGUAAAGGGAUGCUAAUUAACCUUUGUACUUUUGAAAAUCUAACACAUUGAGUGCUUUUUAGGUCUUGAAAUAUUUUGUAAAUUCAAUAAACAUUCUACUUGGUGA